rnacentral:rRNA from 1 species
AGAAUUGAUCUGGUUCAGGAUGAACGCUAGCGGCAGGCUAACACAUGCAAGUCGAGGGGCAUCGGGAGUAGCAAUACUGCCGGCGACCGGCGCAAGGGUGCGUAACGCGUGAGCAACAUGCCCGUAUCAGGGGGAUAAUCCAUGGAAACGUGGUCUAAUACCCCAUAGUAAUUAUGUAAGGCAUUUUAUAUAAUUUAAAGCUUUGGUGGAUACGGAUUGGCUCGCGUGACAUUAGCUAGAUGGUAAGGUAACGGCUUACCAUGGCUACGAUGUCUAGGGGUUCUGAGAGGAAGGUCCCCCACACUGGAACUGAGACACGGUCCAGACUCCUACGGGAGGCAGCAGUGAGGAAUAUUGGACAAUGGAUGGAAAUCUGAUCCAGCCAUGCCGCGUGCCAGGAAGACGGCCCUAUGGGUUGUAAACUGCUUUUGUAUGGGAGCAAUAAGGGCUACGCGUAGUCCGAUGAGAGUACCAUACGAAUAAGCACCGGCUAACUCCGUGCCAGCCGCUGC